GAAAAUAAAGUAGCUUACAUAUAUGGCGUGUCUACUAUAUCUAUACUAGCUUACAUUCAACCACUAGCUUUUUUUUUUAGAGUGGGCACCAAAUGAGGCUUUGCUUCUUUGCAAAGAAUAGUUUCUGAUCAGUGAUCUAACCUUCAACUGCCAAGUACCAGAAACAAGGGACUGUAGACCUUAAGGUCUGGACCUCUAUAAUCCUCAGAAUCUAAAGACAAGAAGUUCAACUUGGAGCAAACUCAGGAUAUGGACAUAACUUCGAGGAACCAGGAAAGAUCAGAAUCUUCCGGGAAUAUAUCCCCCACUGUGGGUUCAGCUAAUGAGUCUACAUGCCACUUGAACAGG